rnacentral:lncRNA from 1 species
AGGGAAGCGAAGAGCUCGGUGCACAGGUUCAGGGAGGCUCUGCGUUCCUGUCUCCAGUGUGUGCUGAAGUCAAAAAAAGAAUAAGGCCAUCUCCACCUGCACACCAGAAAGCAGCCUCACCAGGAACUGAGUCCGCUGGACCCUUGAGCCUGGACCCCAGCCUCCAGAACUGUGAGCGAUAGACAUGUAAUUUAAGUCACCACCGCCUCCUAAGAAGUGAUUUCCAUAGAUAAUAUGAAUGCUUCCUGGGUCCCAGACUGG